GCCCACUCUUUUCAUUUCAGUGACCUCGGGUGAACAGCGAGGAUAAUCAUCCGCAUCCACUAUCAUACAGAGUCGGAGCCAUUAGACGCAGUCUAGAGCCCUUUGAUUUGCAUCUGAGCAUGCUUACAUGUACGAAGGGUUGCAGAUACUCAUAUCACAGGUUUCAAGUUUGGGAUCCCUGAAUUGUCACAGCAAGAUGCCAAUCAAGGUAGAAAAUCUAGGACACAUGGAGUACCACUGAGUGGACACAGAGCAGCUUUAUUAUUGUCAGAGGAGUAAAUGACUUCAGGUGUUCAUCCACUGGCCUCGUCCUCCAGUGCAGAAAAAGAUGUUCUGAUUGACAGUGAUCAGUGAUUUGUCCCAUACUGAGGUAACUAACGCUAUUACCAUCAAAAAAAGCAAGCCUACAACACAAUCUGAAUGACAAUUAUUGUCAAAUUAUUCCCUUGAAACAUAAUAAUUCAUUUCAAGUGGAGCAAAAAUAACACAGGAAUUAUCUGGCCCUGCAAUAAUAGUAAUUAUAAAGUGCUUCGUUCAUGCGUGCCGUUCGACUGAACUAUGAAAAGCUUUUACAAAAGGGCCUCUUCUGAUUCGGGGAUAGGCCUAUGAGAUUUUGAAUCUUUAAUAAAGCUUUAUUCAGGUUUGAGCUUUGGGUUCUAUUCUGUAAUAUAUUUACUAUCUGUAAAUUGGGUUUGUUGUCCAUCUAAUUCUGUUCAUCUAGUAGCUGAAAGGUCAUGUUUAUGAUUUUACAGUGUCGCUCUAAAAUACUAAACAGGUUUGCAUUAGGUUGUAAAGCAUUAUCAUCACUGUGUCAUUUUUAUUCAGAUGUAACCUGAUUCUGACCCACUCAGUUUGUGAGUCUACCAGUAAAUAACAGCUGUGCUUGAGGGACAUAUUUCUAUAGCUUUGGCCAUCAGUUAUAAUAACAUUAACAGGCGUCCAGGGGGGCAAUUGAGCAUUUUGUUAACAAAUCAGUAGGUUGACAAUAUCAUCCAGUCCGACUAAAACUAAAUAGCUUUUUUUGUCUGCUUCAAGCAUAUAUUUCUGCUCUGUAUAUCACUUGUCUUGUGUUUUUCUUUGCUAAAAAAAAUCAGAAACCAAAAGAGAAAAUUGGUUUCCUGAUGGUGCCCCCUAGUUUUGAAUUGAGGGACACCACUCCAGCCAGCUGAGACAAAAAUACUUUUACUUUACUAAUACUUUUUCCCUUUUUUAUGGAAGCCCUAAAGGGCCAUGCAUUCAUACAUUUUAUUUCCUCCGUUUUAGUGUGCUAAAAGUCACGCCAGCUUGCUAACAAUCUAUCGACAUAUCUAUCUAGUGGGCUAGAUGUGUGUUUCACUGGUCAUUAAAGCCAUAAUUCAUGGGCAUCAUGAA
rnacentral:lncRNA from 1 species